rnacentral:rRNA from 1 species
ACGAGUUUGAUCAUGGCUCAGAAUGAACGCUGGCGGCAGGCCUAACACAUGCAAGUCGAGCGAGGACUUCGGUCCUAGCGGCGGACGGGUGAGUAACGCGUGGGAAUAUGCCCUUUGGUACGGAAUAGCCUCGGGAAACUGGGAGUAAUACCGUAUGUGCCCUUCGGGGGAAAGAUUUAUCGCCAAAGGAUUAGCCCGCGUUGGAUUAGGUAGUUGGUGGGGUAAUGGCCUACCAAGCCGACGAUCCAUAGCUGGUUUGAGAGGAUGAUCAGCCACACUGGGACUGAGACACGGCCCAGACUCCUACGGGAGGCAGCAGUGGGGAAUCUUAGACAAUGGGCGCAAGCCUGAUCUAGCCAUGCCGCGUGAUCGAUGAAGGCCUUAGGGUUGUAAAGAUCUUUCAGAUGGGAAGAUAAUGACUGUACCAUCAGAAGAAGCCCCGGCUAACUCCGUG